GAUGAACGCUAGCUACAGGCUUAACACAUGCAAGUCGAGGGGCAGCAUGAACUUAGCUUGCUAAGUUUGAUGGCGACCGGCGCACGGGUGAGUAACACGUAUCCAACCUGCCGAUGACUCGGGGAUAGCCUUUCGAAAGAAAGAUUAAUACCCGAUGGCAUAGUUCUUCCGCAUGUUAGAACUAUUAAUGAAUUUCGGUCAUCGAUGGGGAUGCGUUCCAUUGGGUUGUUGGCGGGGUAACGGCCCACCAAGCCUUCGAUGGAUAGGGGUUCUGAGGGCAAGGUCCCCCACAUUGGAACUGAGACACGGUCCAAACACCUACGGGAGGCAGCAGUAAGGAAUACUGGUCAAUGGAGGAGGGUCUAAACCAGCCAAGUAGGGUGAAGGAUGACUGCCCUAUGGGUUGUAAACUUCUUGUAUACGGGAAUAAAGUGAGGCACGUGUGCCUUUUUGUAUGUACCGUAUGAAUAAGGAUCGGCUAACUCCGUG
rnacentral:rRNA from 1 species